CUGCAUUUACUACAUUUUAGGUAAACUAGUUAUCAAAUAUUAUGAGGUAAGCAACUCUUGCGAGGCUGUUAUAGCUUCAAAUUGAAAACUAAUUGUCGAUUUCUCUUAUAUAGUCUUGAGGACCAAAAGGUGGGGCAGGCCUGUGCCGUGCAGACCUAAAACAACGGCAGGUAAAUCUUAUUCUUUCAUAAUAAUGGAAUAGCAAAGAAUUGCCAAUAACAAAAUAAUUGGAAGGAAAACUCGCUUAAAUUUCUCUUCUAAUUUCUUUUCUAAAACAACAUUGACCCUUAGUCUAUGAUCACGAGAUCAAAUCCAUUGACAAGACCUUAAUCUAUUAGCCAAUUCAACAAAAUGCUUUGCUUGCUAACUUAUUUAGGCCAGGGAUGCUGAUCAAUUGUAUCCUUUAUGAAAGCCUAUUAUAGACAAUUAUAUAUAUUAUAUUCAAUCACGUAAUAUUUUAACAUAAUUUGAUUAAGUAUGUAGGAUCAUGAAACCCGAGAAUACCACUCGUAUGAUAUUUAAGCAUAGAAUGAAACAAAGGUUACCCAGCAUUUAAAUUGUAUUUGAAUAAAUACAUGUACGCAUAUGGAAAAUCUUUAACAAUCGUGUCCAGCCCACAACGGGAGGUAGUAUCGGAAGGAGAUGCGGAGGUAAGUAGAGGGAUUUUGACCAACCUCGUUCCCUUUCCCAUAUCAGAGCUUCUGAACUGCGCAAAGGCCCUGGGUACGAGGUUUUGAUUAUCUAUUUUGGACAGCUCUAUAUCAGUUCUAAACUGGGUCUGGUUGUUCAACAAAUUUUGUCUGGAUCGAUGAAAGUUUUAUUUUCUAAAGAUAUAAAACAAGCCAACCUAUAGAAAUGCACAAACCCGAAACAGCGGAAUAAAUGUUGAUCCAGAAUUAGGGCUAAUUGUACUUUGAACGGCCAGCCCCUGUUCUCUCUAAAGUCGAGUAAAGCCAUCUCAUACUUGCGCAGUGUUAUUACAGGAGAAAAAAAGGGUAACUGCAGUCUCCAACAUAGGCACUCGGGCCUGAUGUUUUCCUGGGGAGAAUUGAAAGUUUGUCCAAUUUUUUUUUUUUGGGGGGGGGGGCAAUUCCCCCCUGUCUUGCAAGCCUAUGAUCCCCAAAUAUAGGGUAACAUGGUAUUAAAUGUGCUUAUAGAGUCCAGAUGAGAUUCAUGAACGGUUUAUUUCAAUGAAGAAGUGGGACUAACAGGAAGUGGUGGAGCCCGCAGAAGACAAGCAGAAUGAUUACGAAUGAUUUAGCAUAAUUAAACAUAAAUGAUUACAUAAAUAAUUUGCAACAUUUUAUGAGAUAAGCCAAUUGAAUUACAGAAAUGGGUUAAAGGUUUGGUAUCACACAACAGAGAUCAAAAUUUUCAAGUAAAGUUUUGUCGUUUUCUUAAAAAAUAAUAAGUACCAGAAUUUGGUAAGAAUACGACCAUAAGGACAAGUCUCAUUGAACGUUUUUCUCAACUGGACAAACUAAAUUUGAUUGCCUUGUCUCUUGAAAUGUGUUUGGCUAUAAAAAUUAAAUUAAAUUAUAAACAAUUUUUAAUAUUGUAGACAUAAAUUUUGACAGAUUCAACAUUUUAAUGACAGUGUUCUUAGUGAUUAUGAUGGCAAUUUGGUUAAAGUUUUGUACAGCCAUUUGUCGGAGCAUUUGUUCACAUGAAAGUAUUUGAAUUAAAAUGUAUUUUAUUUUCAUUAACUCUUUCCAUUUUGAAAAAAAGUGGGUGUCCACGACUCCACAGUG